GAUGAACGCUGGCGGCGUGCCUAAUACAUGCAAGUCGAGCGAACAGACGAGGAGCUUGCUCCUUUGACGUUAGCGGCGGACGGGUGAGUAACACGUAGGUAACCUACCUAUAAGACUGGGAUAACUUCGGGAAACCGGAGCUAAUACCGGAUAAUAUUUCGAACCGCAUGGUUCGAUAGUGAAAGAUGGCUUUGCUAUCACUUAUAGAUGGACCUGCGCCGUAUUAGCUAGUUGGUAAGGUAACGGCUUACCAAGGCAACGAUACGUAGCCGACCUGAGAGGGUGAUCGGCCACACUGGAACCGAGACACGGUCCAGACUCCUACGGGAGGCAGCAGUAGGGAAUCUUCCGCAAUGGGCGAAAGCCUGACGGAGCAACGCCGCGUGAGUGAUGAAGGUCUUCGGAUCGUAAAACUCUGUUAUUAGGGAAGAACAAACGUGUAAGUAACUGUGCACGUCUUGACGGUACCUAAUCAGAAAGCCACGGCUAACUACGUG
rnacentral:rRNA from 1 species